rnacentral:rRNA from 1 species
GAGGGUGGGUCCAAGAAACAGCCUCGGCUUCUCGGGCUCGAUGUUGGUAGUAAGUACGUCGGGCUGGCAGUUUCUGAUCAGAAAAACAGGAUUGCCUUGCCUCUAAGUGUCUUGGGUAGGACAAAGACAAACAUUAAUUUGAUGGCAGAUGAUUUCAAAACACUGGUUAAAAACUACUCCCUUGCUGGGCUUGUUGUGGGUUAUCCAUUCAACCUACAGGGUCAAUCUUCUCCAGAUGCAUCACAAGUAAGCCUUCUUGUAGGAGAGCUUUGUAAAACUGGGAAACUUGAUGAUUUGAGCUACACAUAUUGGGAUGAAAAUUUUACCUCAAAGUGCGUAGAAGCCCUUUUAAAUCCUCUGAAACUAAAUGAUCCAGUUGAGACCAAAACAAUGACAGAUAAAUUUGCUGCAGUUUGCAUACUCCAGGGUUAUUUAGAUAACAUGAACAGGGCAUUGAGAUCUGCAGAUAAGUGUGAAGAGUAA